rnacentral:rRNA from 1 species
AGCGAACGCUGGCGGCAGGCCUAACACAUGCAAGUCGAACGAAGCCUUCGGGCUUAGUGGCGGACGGGUGAGUAACACGUGGGAACGUACCAUUUGGUUCGGAACAACUCAGGGAUACUUGAGCUAAUACCGGAUGAGCCCUGAGGGGGAAAGAUUUAUCGCGGAAAGAGCGGCCCGCGUUAGAUUAGCUAGUUGGUGAGGUAAAGGCUCACCAAGGCAACAAUCUAUAGCUGGUCUGAGAGGAUGAUCAGCCACACUGGGACUGAGACACGGCCCAGACUCCUACGGGAGGCAGCAGUGGGGAAUCUUGCGCAAUGGGCGAAAGCCUGACGCAGCCAUGCCGCGUGAAUGAUGAAGGUCUUAGGAAUGUAAAAUUCUUUUACCAGGGACGAUAACGACGGUACCUGGAGAAAAAGCCCCGGCUAACUUCGUGCCAGCCGCCGCCGUAA